ACGGAGGGCGCAAGCGUUGUUCGGAAUCAUUGGGCGUAAAGCGCGCGUAGGCGGCUAGGAAAGUCGGGUGUGAAAUCCCGGGGCUCAACCCCGGAACUGCACUCGAAACUGCCUGGCUAGAGUCUCGGAGAGGUAGGCGGAAUUCCCGGUGUAGAGGUGAAAUUCGUAGAUAUCGGGAGGAACACCAGUGGCGAAGGCGGCCUACUGGACGAUGACUGACGCUGAGGUGCGAAAGCGUGGGGAGCAAACAGG
rnacentral:rRNA from 1 species